rnacentral:rRNA from 1 species
UACGGAGGGUGCGAGCGUUGUCCGGAAUCAUUGGGCGUAAAGGGCGCGUAGGUGGCCACUUCAAGCGUGCGGUGAAAGUCGGGGGCUCAACCCCUGAUCGGCCGUGCGAACUGGGGGGCUGGAGCACUGUAGAGGCAGGCGGAAUUCCGGGUGUAGCGGUGGAAUGCGUAGAGAUCCGGAAGAACACCGGUGGCGAAGGCGGCCUGCUGGGACAUUGCUGACGCUGAGGCGCGACAGCGUGGGGGAGCAAACAGG